CUGUUCCCGCCCCCGACCGGAGCCUUUCGGGUGGCUCCACCCACAACGGGCGUUUCCUCAAGCCACGCCUGCGCAGGUCGUGGGGGGAGACUGAUGAAGACACGACUAUCCCCAGACCAUAUUCUAACUACUAUGGUGCUGUGUAAAAAGCAACCUGAGAAGUGUGGAUGACAAGCUACGGCUUCCCUGCUGAAAUACUUUAGUGAGAAUGCAUAAAAACCAACUCUAAAUGAUGCACAAAGCAACUGAGAGUGACAUUCACAAUGAGUAUUUACCCAGCAUUUUGUGCUGGCAUCUUCCAGGAUGUACAAUCAUCCCAACAGUCUCAGAUUCUUGGUCUCUGGCACUGGCGUAGCUGAAAUGGUGACACUCCCACUAGCCUCUGGUUACAUGAUCCAUGCUGCCUUGUGUAAUCACAUAUUAUUUGUGAUAACAAACAAGACUGGACUGGAUCCUGAAUUCUUUUAGUGCCCUCCAGUAUCUAGCUUCAAAGAGCAAAAGUGCUAAACUGGACAACUUGAUAUAAAUUUCAAGGGACAAGUCUCAUAUGUGAUGUGUUUGCCAUACAGAGAGUUCACCAGAAUAUCUAAUGCCACAACCAGGGACAUUCAAACUGCAAACCAGGAUGAGAAUUUGCUAACUGCAUGCCAUGGACAGCUUUUAACAAGACCCUCAGAUGAAGACUUCUUAUAAUAUUCUUACCCCUCUUAAUUUUUCCUUGCUUAUGCCUACUUCUUUCACUUGGCAGAAUAAGGCUAUGGUUGAAGUUUCACAGUCCUUAGUUUUUGUGGGUAAUCUGACAGCAUGUUGAAUCUGUUAUGUCAAAUCUGAAUCUUUCAAAAACCUGAGAUCCUUUAGUCCACCUAGUGGGUAACUUCAGCAACAUCCCUAAUGCAACUGUUUGUUCAAAUUGUACUAGUGAUCUCUUUUACAGAGUUAGUACUCUCUGCUUUAGUGUAACCCAUUCCUGGAAUGCUAGGUGAUAGAAUUGCUACCGACUGAACAGGUAGAAAUCUGUGCAAUUGCUAAUACUGCUUGCCACCCAUAGAUAUAAUGAGUAUCUGGCCUGGCUCAUUCUUUGAUCUACUUAAUUUCAGUUGGUUUACUUUAGGGGGAUCCUAGAUAAAGAAGCAUACUCCAAACUCCUGGCAUUAUCCUUCUGAUAGUCAUAAUAGUAGCUUCUCUGGUACAUGACAUCCUCUCAAAAAGUUUUAAAAGUUUGUACACAGUCAUUCAUCAAACACCGAAGAGUCUCUUUUCUGCUGGAAUGACAAAAACUCAAAGAAAUACAUGAUGAUGAGUACACCAUAACCUAUGAAUGACUUGUAGAGACCAGAAACCCAACAUGAUGAUAAGAGUAGCAUUAAUGCCCUUAGUUUUGGUCACGCACUCACCUAGAUGAAAGCGUGACCGAAAGGGGAAAAUUGUUAAAUAAAAAAUAUAGGAGGCCAUUGUUUUGGACUAAGCUCUUGCACUAGGCCCCACAGCUCCAGGAUUAGGCCCCAACAGACUUGAAUAAAAAUCAAAAUGGAGUUAUCCAUGCUGAAGUUCCACAUCACCAAACUGAAACUAAGUUGUUAUAUGACCUUCCAAGAAAGCGGGAGAGAUAGCAGCCAAUUUCCCAAAUAGGCCAGUAUCAAUCUUCAAUCAGUAGGAUAAUAAUUCCCUCUGUUUUAAUCCUUAAAAGUAAUCUGAUGCUAGCCAAUCUUUCUAUUUUUCUGCCUCCCUGUCCCUGCCUUUCAAGGAAAGUAACUUUGAAAUAAUCAAUCUGUUUUUUGUUCUUCAUUUUUGCUUUCCUUAGCCCUGUCUAUAAAACCAACCCCUUCUGUUCAACUCACAAGCAAAUUUAUUGUAUUUUAUGGCAUAAAAUGUUGCCCGAUUCUAGAACUGCAAUAAAGCCUGCUGUGCUUUUU